AUCGCUUCUCGGCCUUUUGGCUAAGAUCAAGUGUAGUAUCUGUUCUUAUCAGUUUAAAGUCACUGCUUGCUUACAUUACUAUGGUCUGGUUUCUGUACACACAGCUAAACCCUAU
rnacentral:snRNA from 1 species